AAGAAACUGUGGAGAUAAAUACAAUGAGAAUUAAGCAGGGGGGAUGGUUGGAGACUGGGUGUGGGCAUAAACAGUGAAUGUAAAACAAGAAUGUAAUUAAGGUGGAGGACAAAUUUAGCUAAGAGGUGAGGCUGCAGUGAGAGCAGGACAUCUGGAGCUGAAGCUGCAGGAAUACUUUUGUUGCUUUUGGAUGAUCCACUAAUGAGAAGUACAGAAAACCCAAGAGGAUAUGAAUAAUUUUCUCUUAUGUGCUCAAGCAACAGGCAGCAAGUAAGGCUUGGUGCAGUAUACAGCAAAUAGAAAACGAAAAGUAAAAUCAUAAAAUGUAUCCUCCAUGCUGUACAAAUGAAGGACAGAAAACUCCUAGGAAAAUCUCUGGGAAUUCAGCUGCACUUGCAUAACUCCAGUUAGUGUGAAGAGACUGUUCAUGGAAGUCCUUGUACUUCUGUGAGCAGACAGAUGUGCAUCCACAGAGUGAGAAAGAAACAGUUUUGAAGUGGAAUCUGACAGCAAGAAGUCUAAGAGCAGGCUUCAGACAAUCCCAGCAAUGGAGACCUUCAAGGAAUCCCAGUCAGAAAGCUUCAUUAUGUGAAGAUGAAAAGAGGGGUGUUUUCGUCCCAAAUCCUGUUCCACUAGGAGGCAAUGGCUCAGGUUUCCUUCUGUUCUGGAAAAAAUACCAUGAAGAUGAUCUCAUGGAUAUCACAGAUUUUCAGCUUCCUCCAGAAAAUGGUAAACUGGACAGGGGGAGGACAUGCUGUACUUCAAACUGAGUUUGAUUCAGCUGCUACACAGGCAGCGACUUGCCAGAAUGAAAGCUAUUUUUGUGGCUGGAACAAAAGAAAAGCAAUUGAGAUUUCGUGGAAAACUGUUUGGAUCCUGCUGCAGCUGAGAGGCUGAAGUGUCUGUCUCUGCAGGACUCCUUCUGGACGUCCUUUCUGGUUACACAUGUGCCCAAGUAUUCUGUGGAACCGGGCCCUCAAAGCAAGAGAAACACCCACACACUUCCACAGACUAUCCAGGGACACAAACACUUUCCAGUCUUCCCCCAGAAAAACCCGCCUUGUCCUUGCCCUGCUGAGAAGCUCAACCUCAGCAGCAAAGACAGCUCUGCCCAGAUCACCCAGCACUGCUGGUGUGGGAGGGACAGAUCCCCCUGCAUCUCUCAGGGAGCAGCUGAGGUUUUCCUCUCACUGCAGAAUAUACUUCCUGAUGCAACUGAAGCAUUUCUGGAUUCUUGUUUUAUUAGUGCUAUUCCAGCCAGAAUCUGCAGCCAUCUCAUCCCAAACCAGCUGCAUACAGCCAGAGCAAUGCAAGGGUAUACUUAGAGGGUAUAAUCUUUUCUUAAAGCAAGAAUAAAUGUUACUCUUCUCUGAGCUAGGAGAAAUAUUUAUUAGAUGUGCUUAAGCAUGUGUGUUGCUCUAGGAUCAGGCAAGAAAAUGAACAGUGACUCUUACUUCAUUGUUGCAGGAUGAGGAAGGAUGGAGAGCAGCUGGCCCCUGCCUGGAUGCUCUGAGUGAACAACAAAAUGAGUUAGGUCAGGGUUUUCCUCACUCACACUCCUGUUGGGUUACUCAGAGCUGGCCUGCUGCCCUGCUCUCUCCACUGCAGCAUCGAGGAUGGAAGUGGAGGUUUUGCUGUUCUGUGAGGCUCAGCAAGCUGGGGAUGUUCUGCCUGGCCAGCAGGACAGGAACCCUUCAGUGGCAUAGCACUGCCUGCUGAAAACCUCACCAGGAAGCAAAAAGCUUAAAAGCUAUUACAUUUAUUAUUUGCUUGCUUAAUUUGCUCUCUCUGUUGUGUCAGACAGACAGACAGACUGUGCAGGGCAUGAGGAGAUGCCUGGAAGGAGGGAUGUGCCUCUGGCUGCCCAAAGCCCAGGUUUUCUCGGUGUGCAGCACCUUCAGUUCAGUGUGGCACUGAAUGGAUGCUGCACUUCCAAUGCUGAUCCAGGCUGCAGGGCAGGGGCAGCAAAGGCACUGUGCUCUGCCAGCCCCAACAUCAGCCCCACCAAGCCAGCAGAACCUGGCCUGGCCAAAAACCCACCUGGCUUUGAGCCUCUCCAGGAUUCUGUGCACACACCGAGUUCCUGCCUGCCUGCUGGCCAGUGUAACCUGCAGGUUGAUGAAUCCAGCCUACAUUGACUUGAAUGGCUUUUUGUUCAAAGUUUGUCAAUGUUUUGAGAAUACCUGGGUGAAAUUUCCUUUUUCCAUUUGAAAUAAAAGAGAAAUGUGCACAUUGAAAGAUGCAAAAGGCAUUCAAGAAGUGCACAGAUCAUCAUUUCAGGCAUUCUGAGCAGUGGGAUUGAGUGAAAUCAUUUAUAGCAUCUGUUUUGAUAUUAGAGUGGUUUUAAGCUGUAGAGUCCCACUAAACAAUUUUGAGAAAUAAAUCUUUCCUAGGUAACUUUUA